rnacentral:rRNA from 1 species
UACGUAGGGGGCAAGCGUUGUCCGGAUUUAUUGGGCGUAAAGAGCGUGUAGGCGGCCAUACAGGUCAGCUGUGAAAACUCGAGGCUCAACCUCGAGACGUCGGUUGAAACCGUAUGGCUAGAGUCCGGAAGAGGAGAGUGGAAUUCCCGGUGUAGCGGUGAAAUGCGUAGAUAUCGGGAGGAUCACCUGUGGCGAAAGCGGCUCACUGGACCACAACUGACGCUGAGGCGCGAAAGCUAGGGGAGCAAACAGG